UCAUUAACUUGUUUCACCUCAAAAGAUUGAGAGAACAUCUGGUAAAUAUUUAGUGAAAAAUGGUAUCCGUAGAUUUGCUUGCAGUGAGACCCUCGAAGUUGGUCAUGUAACUUUCUACUGGAAUGGAAACUGCUAUAGAUAUUUUAAUCCAACACUGGAGGAAUACGUGAAAAUACCAAGUGAUUCCUGAAUUACAUUCAAUGUCCAGCCAAAGAUGAAGGCAGUGGAAAUUACAUUCAAUGCCUACCAAGUGGUGACAUGGAGUUUCUAGCAUGAGGAGAAUGAGAUUAAGUCAAGAGCUUGAUCCUUCGUUAACAGUUCGUUACCAUGAGAGGAAACCGAUGCGACAGAUCCAGUGAAGAUCAACGACGAUGUAGCUGAAAAUGGGCUCACUAGAUGAAAAAGACACCAAGCACAGACAAAUCUGGUGGCCGGACAAACUAUAAUGAAUGACGAUGGAUGAGAUCAAGAGAAAUUUUGCUUGAUGCAAAAGGAUGGAAACAGAGAAUAA